UAUAGCUCAGUGGCACGAGUGCAUGCCUGGAAAGUAUAAGGUCCCGAGUUCGAUUCUUGGUA
rnacentral:tRNA from 1 species